CAAGGUUUCUUAGUAAACUGCUUGGAGAAGAGUUCCCGAGUCCCGUCUUCCUUGCAGUCUAGGCUGUUGCAACAGCUGGUGGCCUGUACGGGGAACAGCUGAGGACUCAGAACUUCUUGCUGUCAGGGCAGUACACUGCUUAUAUGAGGAUCCAGGACUCACCAUGGAGUAGUCCAGGAGCAAAACCCAGUGACCUGAGUGCAUGGGAAAUUUGCCUGAUUAUCAGCUUCCAGGCCCUGAAUGGCCUGGAUCCAGAGGUUGUGAAUUCAAACUGGCACUGGUCAUUGGGCAUGUUGGCCCCAUGAAUGGUUGCUCUGUGGAGAAGACCAUGUUCAGAAACGUGGUGGGUGUUCCAUCCAGUGCUGAUUCAUAUUGGAGGUCCUCAAAGACUAGGUCGUUGGUUUUGGUAUGGAAAUUAUCAAGAAACUUACUAGCGAGACAAGAGAGGAUGUGACAAUGCAGAUGGACCUGAAAACAGUGCUUCUGAAGAAGAGACCCUUAUAGCUCCUUACAUCAUACUCAGGACGCCUGGCAAAGAGACAUUUGCUGAGGGAAAGCAGGCCUGCCACUUUCAAACCACACCGAGGUGCAAGCUGAUGUCAGGAACCUAGAAAGUGAUAAGAAGAAUGACCACAACAAUAAUAGUGAAAUGGACAUCCUUAAGGUGCUGGACCAGCCAAACAUCAUCAGUACCACAGCACAAACCUAUAUGGAACAUGCUACUUGUGGAGAUCUGCUGAGCCAUACUGAGAAAGUGUGCCAUCUGCAGGAGGAUCAUUCCAAGUACAUCUUUAUUUAGGUAGUGUGUGCAGUUCCGUACUGCCAUAAGAAUGGCAUUGUAUACAGAAAUACCAACUAGAUAACAUCUUCCUUGAUGGCAAAGGAAGCAUCAAACAGUGUGACUUUGGCCUGUCCGUCAGAGUCUCCUCUAGACAGAGGUCCAAGGGAUCCUGUGACACCCUCAAAUAUUGUGCUCCAGAGCUAUUUACUGAUACAGGAUGUGAUUCAAGGGCAGUUGACAUCUGGAGCAUGGGAGUGGUGACAGUAUCCUUCCAUUCAAAGCAUAGACCUACUCAGACAUGAAGGAGGAGAUGCUGGAUCCCAAGCACCCCAUUCCUUCCACUCUUUGACAAAACACAGUAAACCUCAUUGUGCAACUGUCCACUGUGAAACGUAACAGAUGCACAAGAUAAGAGACAUUAGGCAGCACCAGUGGCCCAAGGAGAGGGAAGAAUUUUGGAAACUCCCAUCAUCCUCAGAGACACACUGUAACAGCCCAAAUUCCAGGACUGUGGUGAUUCUUUGGGACAUGUAAUACCAUGCCAAAGAUGUUAGUGAUUGUUUACAUAAGAAAAAAUCACGGACACAGACCUAAUUUUAAAAAAAGGACCACAUUAAAUAUCCAGGAAAGUGUCAGCAAACUGGAAGGAAAUGGGUAUCACAUAGGAUGGGAUGUUGACAUAUUGCUCCACUUGGAAGGAUUUCCCUGUAUUGUUUUGGAGGCUGUCCUGGAACUUGCUCUCAAAUCCUCCUUCCUGCCAAGUAGCAGGGCAGCUAUGAGGAAUCAUUCCCUGCACCCAGAGGUCCCUGAAGAGACUCUAAUGAUGUUGUCCCAAGGAACGCCACAUUGUUCCUGGACACAUCCUGAAACAUGUACCCAGGGAAUUCCUGACCUGAGGAUCUGCACACACAGUGUUAUUGCCAGGGAUGGAGGAGAGCACUUCUGGCCUUCCCUUUGGCUGGAAAACUAGCAGGUCAUUUCCUGAGCUCUAAAGGAGCUGAGAAGCUCCACACAACCUCAGGAAGACAUGCUGUGGAGGGCAGUGAAAUGGUUUCUGUCCUAGAAUUCAACUACAGACCACACUCCUGAUUCUCAGAAAGAUCUGGGGAUGGCACAGGGUCCUCUUGUGAAAGCGUCCCGGUGUUACUGUGGAAUACCUGUCCCACAUCGAUGCUCUAUGUAUUGUGACAGUACAGAAAGGUCACUUAUGCCUCCCUGUCCUCACAGAUGACCCAAGAAACCUACCUGUUCAGAUAAAGGUACCUCAGCAGAUCCUUGAGAAGGGAAUGUACAGCUCUGCUUGACCUCUAGACUGGAUUGCCUGAGAAGGGCAGUGUGCAGGGACUCUGUUCCCCAGGUCACCAAUAACAAGACGACAGUACACUCAAGGUCAUCCACUUGUAAUCUAAAUGGUAUUGGAUAGAGACAAUUUACAAUUACUGAAGUACUGAAAUAGAUUUCCAACAUGAUUUACUCUAAUUGGCAUUCAGAAAACUUUAGGAUGUCUGAGAGGAAUCCAAGGGAAUAUAACCUCUCAGACACCCCUGUUUCUCAGCAGCAGCCACUGUUGUUCAGAUGACAGAUCUUUUACUCAGGUAGACUCAGCAAAAUGCCAUCUGAUGCCCAAAUACCAAAUGUAACAACCAACUUGUUUAAUCCUAGAAGAGACAGCAGAUGGCAGAAGAGAUUCCGCUGGACCAUGCUAUCUUGUCCCAGCACGCCCAACAAAACUCAGAGAUCCAGAAAUUUCAUCAGGGACGGAAUGAAAUCUGGACACAUGGAAUCUAACACAACCCCCAGCAACAGACCCCCCUACAUUAUGUCAGCUGAUUUUGUCAGGGCCAUCUAGGGAAAACAAAGCAGUGAAAAACGGUUUGUCUACAAAGGGCUGCAGGAUAAGUAUGAUAAAGCAAACAAUAACGAACCCAUUAGAAAACUGAACACAAUCUCAAAUGUUACAUCUGACCUCAGAUCCAAAACUGCAGUGUUCAUGUAACAGUUACAGAAGAAAAUUACAUAAGUUUCUACCUCAUACUGAACAAGAUCAGAAACAACACAGAGAAGAUGAACUGUUGAUAUGUGAGUUCAGAAGCCGCCAUCCAAGAAACAGAGAAACUGGAGAAGGGCUUGAGGUGACAACUCCUUAGGACUUCGAGAGCUUGGCCUGAUACACCCCAGGAAAGAACCAAUCAAGGCGUUGGUUCACUGCUUAGGAUUAUCAGCGAAUGUCCAGGUAGCAGGCAGAUGUGUUCUGCUCACCACUCAUACACCCAUGCAACCACCAUGAUUACUACAUAAGGAUGUGGGCCAGAAGCAGAAUGACCACUACCAAAGCUGGGGGGUCACUUUCAGAUCUGUCAGCUUUGCUCUUGACUCCCAAAUACCUCAGCCCGGUAGAAGAGGGAGGAUGAAGAUAGGAAUUAUAUAGGACCUGCUGUAGCUGGUGAGUCUCCAUGCUGCUGCUCCUGGAGCCUAGGAUGCCCAAAGAUGCACAGUCUCUAUCCCAUGCUUCACACAUUGUGAGAUGCAACCCAUGCAGAACACAUCACCAUACUGCUGUCCCACAAUGAUUGCAAGGCAUCAGGCUGUGCUGUCUUGGAUGCCCCACACCACAAAACUACUAGGUGUUUCAGGCCCUGAUGGACCACUACAGCGCACAAUCAACAUAUCCAUUUAGAUAUUAGGACUUACCUGACAUUCAUGCCACUUCCAUACACAAUCCUCUUGCAGUCAGGAUCUUAUUGUAGUUCAUGUGUAGAUACAGGCAUGCAUAUAAUGCUAGGCAUCAACCCUUACCUAGCAUCUCACUGUUCUGCUACCCACAUACACUACUAAUCAAUGGCAGUGGGAGUGAGCACGGCUGAAAAUUAGAAGUGCUUUGAGGCAGGAAUACAGGUGUACAAAAGGAACUUACUGAGGAUGGCCUGAUAUCAGGCACAAUCUGAGACUUGAGUCCUGAAGGGUCCAGAAGUAUAUAUAGUAGUGCGCAGGGGGCCAAUUGGGUGUCCAGCAAGGCCUGAAACCAAGGAAAAUAGUUCAGGCUAUUGUAACAGGGGAAGUGAUGUCCAGGUUGCUUGGUAAGUAGAGCACUCAUGAGUUUGGCAGCAGGACUGGGGAGUAUCUAUUAAGGCCUGAAGACGGGACAGCCCUGAUAUUGAGAGAUUAUUUUCAGUGUCUUACGAACACAGCAUUGCACAUUAGGUGGCAGCAUUUGGGAACUUCUAGGUCCAAUAGGACCUGGCUCAUAGCACUCUAUAUAGAAUACCAGGGGUGUGUCCAGCAGUGCUGAUCAAUAGCAGUAUAUGUAGGGCAGUGGUGAUGAUGCUAAUGAUGUAAGGGACACUCUCUCUCUCUCUCUCUCUCUCUCUCUCUCUCUCUCUGUGUGUGUGUGUGUGUGUGUGUGUGUGUGUGUGUGGUGAGGUGAUGUUUUAAAAGUGUAAUCACUACCUUCACCUGCAGUAGAUGUGAAGCUAAGUUUUUCAUUGCACUGUUUUGCCCAACAACAGUGAAUGUAGAGUUGUAGGGUUCACUAGCUCUCCUUCAAGUGGAGAAGGAGGCUAAGAGGACAAGCAGUGUUUGUAUUCAACCAGGAAUUCUGAUCCUUCUGAUGGCUGUCCCCAAUUCUCAAUUGGUAUUUCAGAAUAUUGGUUGUUGCUGUUAAUUUAUUAUUUGGUUACUUGGGUGCUGAGAAGGGCAUCACCUUCAGGAAGGAGUAUCUUCUGAGCAUGGUGUACCUCCUGCACCCCUUCUCUCUUUCUUCCACACCCUCUUCUUAGAAGUGACUCUCCAGAGCCUCUAUACUGUUUGAAAAAGCUGGCUCACUAACUCUCCUCAUUAUGUGGAGAGGCAGGCUAAGAGGACCUGCAGUGAUCAUAUUUAACCAAAGCAUCUUGCCUUGCUGAUGGCUAUCCCCAUGGCUCAAUUCAUAUUUCAGAAUAUUGACUGUUGCUGUUAGUUUAUUAUUUGGUCAGCUGGGUACUGGACAGGGCAUCACCUGCAAGCAGCAGUAUCUAUGGAGCACGGUGUGACUUCUACAUCCCUUGCAUCUUUUCUUCCACACACUCUUGAAAGUGACUCUUUCCAACUUCUGUAUGGAUUGGAAAAGAUGGUCAUUAGCUUCCUUCAAGUGGAGAGGGAGGACAAGAGGACCUGACUGGAUAUUAUUUAGCCAGUAUGUCUCAUUGUACUGAUGGCUGGACCCAAGGCUCAGUUGGUAUUUCAGAAUCUUGAUUGUUUCAGUUUAUUACUUGGUCACCUGGGUGCUGAACAGGGUGUCACCUCCAGGCUGCACUAUCUGUUAAGCAUGGAGUAAUUUCUGCAUCCCUUGUAUCUUUCUUCCACUCCCUCUUCCUGAACAUGACUCCUCCCAGGCUCAAUACUGAUUGGAGAAGCUCAUUCACUAGCUCUCCUCUUUAAGCAGAAUGUGAGGGUAAGAGGAACUGCAGGGAUCAUAUUUAACCAGGGCUUCUUGGCGUGCUGAUAGUUGUCCUUUCAGCUGAAUUGGCACUUCAGAAUAUUAAUUAUUGCUGUUAUUUUUUAUUUGAUUGCCUGAGUGCUGAACUGGUUGCCACCUCCAGGUUGGAAUAUCUGUGGGGCAUGCUGUAGCUUCUGAAUCCCUUCCCUCUUUCUUCCACACCAUCUUUCUAAAAGUGACUCUUUCCAGCUUCUAUGCUGAUGGUAAAAGCUGGCUCACUAGAUCUCCUUAUCGAGGGAACCUCCAGGGGAUAUAUUUAACCAGAUUUAUCUUGCUGGUGGCUAUUCCCAUGGCUAUCCCCACUGCUCAAUUGAUAUUUCAGAAUAUUGGUUGUUUCUGUUAGUUUCCUAUGUGUUAUGAAUGACAAAAUCUCUUCACAGUUAUUGCCAAUGGUGUGCAUCGACUGUAUGACCCUGGGAAUGGUUUCCAUACUGGCAUAUGGUACACAUUCUUGAAUGUGGCACGUCCAAGGUCUUCCCAAAAGUUUACCUAUUAUUACCCUGUACCAGAUAGGGACCAUGAGUAAUCGUGCAAUGAUAAUGUGACUGUUUUUGUCAAAUGGUAGGGAAUAGGACACACUGUGGUGGUGAUGAUAGUGUGGUUUCUACGUAUGGAAAGUGACUAGUUAUCAUGACAUAUAGGACAAUGCCCAAGCUCCACUUAUCACCUGCAAGUCCAUCAUAGGAUUUCCUUGUUAAGAAAUCUGAUUCUAAUAGAGCAAGGAAACACAGACCCCCUUCAACAUCUUUCCUCAUGCAAACUGAAUGGCAAUACCAAAUUCACAAAGCUUUGCUUUGCCCAAUAUGUCACAAAGGAUAUUCUCUAUUAUCACCAUAUUCAAUGAGUCUUUGGUGGAGAAGAGAAGCCGAUGACAUGACUUGUUGUACUGGUCUAUCAUCAUCCUCCUUUAAAUAUCCUAUCUCCCUGAGGAACAUCUCCAGAUCUUUUCCUGCAACAUACUCCAUGACCACAUAAGUUAUUGUCAGUGUGUUGAUGAUGUGAUAACAUUGAACUAAGUUCCUAUGUUUCAAGGAAUGAAAGAUGUUUACUUCAGAGCUGAUAAUGAACCAGAGCAUCGUGGUGCUUCUGAAGGACCUUGACAGUCAUCUUUGCAUGUGUGGGUAGGUUGCAGGCAAGCAUCACCUUCCCGAAUGCACCACAACCUAGAGAUGUUAAGAUACUGAAAUCCUUUUCAAGGAUGUCCUCUACCCAUGGGCUGGCCAUGAUGUUCAGCUCGAUUUCAACCACUGUAUUUUGUGGGAAAUUUCAGGACACACAAUGCUAGAAAAAAAUUAAUGUAGUUUUAGAAUAGAAGUCUAUAGCUAUGAAUUCUCUCACUUGAAUUCUGAGAUAUCCCACAGAAUACAAUGAUGACUUCUAAGGCCCUAGAAAUACAAGAAAAAUCCAGAGGGUAAGUUACAUAAAGAAACUUAUCAAUAGUGUAACAUAUGUUCAGAUUCUGGGGUAGAGUCUAUAAUCAGACACAGUGACAACUGAACUGUUCUGCUAUAUAGAAAGUAGCUACAACUAGAGAUGUUAUAUGAAAUAAGGCAACUACACAAACAGAAAUAUAACAUUUUUGCCUGUAGAUAUUAGAAGAGGGUGAAGAUUUUAUGAAGAAAAAAUAUUAGCCACAGAUAUGGAGUAUAGGAAGUGAAAUUGAUCAGGAAAGUAUGAACAAAAAGUUAUAUAGGCAUGCAUGGGAUGCUAUAAUGAAAUUUGCUCUGAGUAGUGUAGGGUAAAAGGACUAGCCAAAGAAACACACUUUGACUCUGAAACCAAAGCCAAAGAAACAUACUUUGGCCCCGAAUUAGAGCUAAAGAAAUACACUUUUGCCCUGAAAUCAGAGCCAAAGAAACAUACCAUGACCUGAUACAGAGCAGGUUCACUGACCCUGACAUCAGAGCCAAAAGCUUAAAAAUUCCCAGUGAAGGAAACACUUUGUCCCUGAAACCAGAGCCAAAGAAACACACUUGCCCCUGACCAGCUCAGCACAAUACCAAUCCCUGGGCAGGAAAACCAAUCCCCGAGCACGAAACCAACCAAUUUCUGAGCAUGGAAUCCAGCCAAUCUCUGAGCUUAUCCAAGCUCAGGGAUUGAAUUGUGACCCAUUCCCACCCUGAAAAUCUUCACCCUGUAAAAAAUUCUACCACUAAAAAUCCCUAUAUAAGUCAUGUGCUGGUUCAUUUGGCAACUGUCUUUUCCACCCUGGCAGAGGCAGUCAUUCUAUUGGGUUCUUCCCUUCCAAUAAAUGUCUUGAAUGA